GUCUCAAACUCUUAUGUGUGUAUAAAUCAUGUAGGGAGCCUGUGGAUAUGUAGUUUCUAACUCUGUGAUGGGACCUGAGAUUCUGCACUUCUAGCAAGCUCCCAGGGAAUGCCAAUGUUGUCGAUCUGUGGGCCCCUCUGAGCAGCAGAGAAACCUGAGGAAGUGUUAAUGCUAAUAACUAUCACCUUAGGGGUCUGAGAACUAACAUUGGCUCAACCAGUUGCCACAGCGACAAAACUGCCACCCUUCAGCACAGCAAGGGGGGUUUGGGGAUGUAUCACCCCACAGCAGUGGCAGCUCAAAGGGUGCCAUCCAAGAGAGCAGCUCAUCAGGAGGAAACAAGUCUUCUGAAUGUCAGCAACGGGGAGCCGGAGAGUCCCCACGGUAUCCUUCACACCCCUCUGCAGUCCAGGAAGCUCACAAAGUUCUGUGUAUGGUUUGGUCUGUGGCAUCUUCCAGAGCUGGGGCUCAGUGGGGAGAGCCACACAGUGCAUUGGCCAGGACCCAGAGAUGAGACCAAUCCUCAGAGCCUAGCAAAGGUUCAGAUCCAACCAUCAGGCAACAGAUGACUGACCAAAC
rnacentral:lncRNA from 1 species